rnacentral:rRNA from 3 species
AACGACUCUCGGCAACGGAUAUCUUGGCUCUCGCAUCGAUGAAGAACGCAGCAAAAUGCGAUACUUGGUGUGAAUUGCAGAAUCCCGUGAAUCAUCGAGUUUUUGAACGCAAGUUGCGCCUGAAGCCUUUUGGCCGAGGGCACGUCUGCCUGGGUGUCACGC